GAUAACGCUGGCGGCGUGCGUAACACAUGCAAGUUGUACGACGGUGCCAUGAAGUGGAGACGCGGAGUGGUAUACGGAGUAGCGGACGGGUGAGUAAAGCAUGAGGAGCUGUCCUGUCGAGGGGGAUAACGUUCGGAAACGGACCCUAAUACCCCAUAGUCCGAGAGGUUAAAGGCAGAGAUGCGCGACGGGAGGUACUCGUGUCCUAUCAGCUAGUUGGUGAGGUAACGGCUCACCAAGGCGACGACGGGUAGCCGGCCUGAGAGGGUGACCGGCCACACUGGAACUGAGUACGGUCCAGACUCCUACGGGAGGCAGCAGUGGGGAAUAUUGGGCAAUGGGAGGAAUCCUGACCCAGCGACGCCGCGUGAACGAAGACGGCCUUCGGGUUGUAAAGUUCUUUUAUGUGGGAAGAAGGAAGUGACGGUACCACAUGAAUAAGCCCCGCA
rnacentral:rRNA from 1 species